UUAUUAGUGUUUCUCUCUUGUCCUUUUCCUUUAGGAAGCAGUGAAAUAUAAUGGUUAAGACACAGGCUCUAGGGAUUCCUUUGUAGCUCAGUGUUAUCACUGCUAUGGCUCUGGUUACAGCUGUAGCAUGGGUUUGAUCCCUGGCCCAGGAACUUGUGAAGGCUGUGAGCGGGACCAAAAAAAGAAAAAAAGACACAGGUUUUGUAAUAGACUGACUUGGGUCCAAAUUCGACUCCAUGACUGGCUGGGGCAUGUGACUUCUCUGAACCUCUGUGUCUUCACCUGAGAGAAUGGGAUAUUAAGAACUAUUUCACCUGGUUGCUGUGAGCGUUAAAUGAGACACCAUAUGAUACUGGGCACACAUCAGGGCUCAGUGAAUGAAGGGUAGCUAAUACAGUUUGCAGAGUCACUGAGUAGAAGUCUAGCUGCACAGAGCUUCUGUGUCUAGAUUUCAACGAUAUUCUUUCAUCAUUUCUUGGAACUCCCAGCACCCCAUGUGGCUUAUACACCACAGGCUCUGAUGUGUUUAACUUGAAAAAGAAGCAGUGUUCCCCUCUGAAGCGUGGUUCCCCAGUGCUGUUUGGCUACACCGGGAGGAGGAGGUUGGUAAGUAGUCAUGGCAGUUCAUCUUCUAGGGCAGGAAGGCUCAGGUUUUCUUGGAGAUUUCCAUUCUUCUAUCUCAUUUUCUGAGUCAGAACAACAAGUAUUUAGAGGACGUUUCCCUUCUUUUCCUCCUGAUUUCUUCUCCUCUAUCCCUUUUCAUUUUCAUCCUCCCUAGAGUGUGUUGGAGAAUCAAGAAUGUGGGUGCAGAAGAGGAGGAGCCAGAGACAUCUCUUCCUUUCCCCCAGCUUGUGCAAAGAUGCUUCUGAACACCCUUGGACUAGGUGGAUCUUAAAUUACAAGGAACAAACAGCCAGAGUCUGGACUCUACAUCCUCAUCCCCGUCACCUGGGACCCAACAUCUUCAUCACCUGGGACCCAGUGGCCAGACCUAGCAGCCUGCUGUUUGCAACUCAGGUUAGCCCCUGCAAAGGUUCCUCCCUAGACGGUGGUGGAUGA
rnacentral:lncRNA from 1 species